UACGUAGGGUGCGAGCGUUAAUCGGAAUUACUGGGCGUAAAGCGUGCGCAGGCGGUUUUGUAAGCCAGAUGUGAAAGCCCCGGGCUCAACCUGGGAAUGGCAUUUGGGACUGCAAGGCUUGAGUGCGGCAGAGGAGACUGGAAUUCCUGGUGUAGCAGUGAAAUGCGUAGAUAUCAGGAGGAAUACCGAUGGCGAAGGCAGGUCUCUGGGCUGACACUGACGCUCAUGCACCGAAAGCGUGGG
rnacentral:rRNA from 1 species